ACAGAAGUUAAGCUUCAACACGCCGAAAGUAGUUGGGGGAUCGCUCCCUGCGAGGAUAGGACGUUGCCACGC
rnacentral:rRNA from 1 species